UUGGAGGGCAAGUCUGGUGCCAGCAGCCGCGGUAAUUCCAGCUCCAAUAGCGUAUAUUAAAGUUGUUGCAGUUAAAAAGCUCGUAGUUGAAUUUCGGGGUCAGUAGGCUGGUCGUGCCACAGGUAUGUACUGGUCUCACUGAUUCCUCCUUCCUGAUGAACCGUAAUGCCAUUAAUUUGGUGUUGCGGGGAAACUGGACUGUUACUUUGAAAAAAUUAGAGUGUUUAAAGCAGGCUAACGCUUGAAUACAUUAGCAUGGAAUAAUGAAAUAGGACGUUCGAUCCUAUUUUGUUGGUUUCUAGGAUCGACGUAAUGAUUAAUAGGGAUAGUUGGGGGCAUUAGUAUUCAAUUGUCAGAGGUGAAAUUCUUGGAUUUAUUGAAGACUAACUACUGCGAAAGCAUUUGCCAAGGAUGUUUUCAUUAAUCAAGAACGAAAGUUAGGGGAUCGAAGACGAUCAGAUACCGUCGUAGUCUUAACCAUAAACUAUGCCGACUAGGAAUCGGAUGAUGUUAUUUUUAAUGACUCAUUCGGCGCCUUACGGGAAA
rnacentral:rRNA from 1 species